UACGUAGGGGGCAAGCGUUGUCCGGAUUUAUUGGGCGUAAAGAGCGUGUGGGCGGUUUGGUAGGUCCGCUGUGAAAACUCGAGGCUCAACCUCGAGACGCCGGUGGAAACCAUCAGACUAGAGUCCGGAAGAGGAGAGUGGAAUUCCUGGUGUAGCGGUGAAAUGCGCAGAUAUCAGGAAGAACACCCGUGGCUAAGGCGGCUCUCUAGUACGGUACUGACGCUGAGACGCGAAAGCGUGGGGAGCGAACAGG
rnacentral:rRNA from 1 species